rnacentral:rRNA from 1 species
AGAGUUUGAUCCUGGCUCAGGAUGAACGCUAGCGACAGGCCUAACACAUGCAAGUCGAGGGGCAGCAUUUCUAGCUUGCUAGAAGAUGGCGACCGGCGCACGGGUGAGUAACGCGUAUGCAACCUACCUUAUACUGGGGGAUAGCCCAGAGAAAUCUGGAUUAAUACCGCAUAACAAUGUUUUAUCGCAUGGUAAGAUAUUUAAAACUCCGGUGGUAUAAGAUGGGCAUGCGUAGCAUUAGUUAGUUGGUGAGGUAACGGCUCACCAAGACAAUGAUGCUUAGGGGGUCUGAGAGGAUAGUCCCCCACACUGGUACUGAGACACGGACCAGACUCCUACGGGAGGCAGCAGUGAGGAAUAUUGGUCAAUGGGCGAAAGCCUGAACCAGCCAUGUCGCGUGCAGGAUGACGGCCCUAUGGGUUGUAAACUGCUUUUUUACAGGAAUAAUUGUCGCUACGUGUAGUGAUUUGAAUGUACUGUAUGAAUAAGAUCGCUAACU